rnacentral:lncRNA from 1 species
GGAGCCCCUCUCAGGAAGGCGAAGUCCGAGCCCGGCCCAGAGAGUAUGUGAGGCCAGUUGACAACACAGUACUUGCAUUCAAAUUCCUUCUGAAAAGGGCCUGUCUGCCACCCCACCUUCCUUGAUGCUAGCUGAUUAUGGACUGAAACCUCUACAGACUGGAUUGAACUCAGGUCUUUGCACUUGCGCAGCAGGCGGCAAAACCACUCAGCUAAAUCCCCGGCCGCAUGUACCAUAUUCUGGACUUGGGGGCGGCAUCUCUUCAGUGACAGCGGCAGUGGUGUAAUCAGCAGAGUGUGGUCUCCUCAGCGAUACGGAGACCCAGCUUGAUCAUCCUGUAAAUCCUGUUCACAUGGGUGUGGGGGUCUUCGAGACAAGCCAGAGGACAAGAGUGGAGUUUCCUAAAGCAAGAUGACCAGCUCCUUUACAGUCUCGUCAUUCUCGUCAGCCUCGGCCUUUUGCCUCAAGGUCAAAAGGACAAAAAGAAGUGGACAAAAAGAAGAGCUCUGAAUUCCAACUGUCCUUCAAUGGAAAAAUGCUUCACCACCAGGAAAUCCCAGUCAUCGAUCAAGCUCUUCCAGAACUAACUCUCCAUACUCCUCCUACCUUAGCAACAGCAUCUGUGCCAGGGUCCAAGAGGAAGCGGGGCACCACCUAUCACUACCCCCAGGGAGAGGUGACAAGCCUACAGGAAGAGCCGGCCUGGAAUCAGGAGGCCUGGGCUACUGCUUGUACUCUGCUGGCCAUUGGCUGCUGCCCGCCCCCCCUUCCAAAUCACUUCACCCUCUGCACAUAUUGUGAGGCCAAGGACUCUGCAGCUGGUUCAAGGAUGUUGCAGAGCACAGCCCUCUGCUUCCACUCUGGAUGGCCAUGGCACAGAAACUCCAUCAGGAAGCAGCCAUCCUUCAGCCAGUCUUCUGUGACUUAACGUUGUACUUGCCACCUGUGAUGCAGAAUGUUUGCUGACCAGGCAGAUGAUUAAGGUCCACAGGGCAAGUAAUUGGCAUGCCUGGCCUCUCCAGGAUGGAUAUUUCUGUGAGCAAUUAGAUGUCCCUGCAGUGGAGUAGGAGGUAAACUUGGCAUUGGUCCUUGAAGAAAGGAGACUGAGGUAGUAAAAAGUAAUUAUGAGCAGCUCAGCUCUACAAUUAUCUGUAAUAUUAUUAACAAUAAUAAAAGUAAUAUGUGGU